GACCGCGUAGCUCAGUUGGCAGAGCAUUGGGCUAGUAUUCCAAAGGUCGUAGGUUUGAUUCCCACCGUGGCCA